GUGGGGAAUAUUGGACAAUGGGCGCAAGCCUGAUCCAGCAAUGCCGCGUGGGUGAAGAAGGUCUUCGGAUCGUAAAGCCCUUUCGACAGGGACGAUGAUGACGGUACCUGUAGAAGAAGCCCCGGCUAACUUCGUGCCAGCAGCCGCGGUAAUACGAAGGGGGCUAGCGUUACUCGGAAUUACUGGGCGUAAAGGGCGCGUAGGCGGCUCUGUUAGUCAGGCGUGAAAUUCCUGGGCUUAACCUGGGGACUGCGCUUGAUACUGCAGGGCUUGAGGCCGAGAGAGGGUGGUGGAAUUCCCAGUGUAGAGGUGAAAUUCGUAGAUAUUGGGAAGAACACCGGUGGCGAAGGCGACCACCUGGCUCGGUUCUGACGCUGAGGCGCGACAGCGUGGGGAUCAAACAGGAUUAGAUACCCCGGUAGUCC
rnacentral:rRNA from 1 species